rnacentral:lncRNA from 13 species
GUAAAUAUGGGAAAAACAGACACUGUGGACUACUAGAGAAUGGAAGGAGAGAAGUGGUUCUCUGCCUGCAUACUAUU